GCGGGGUGGGGAAGCCAGGUAUCCCGCGGGGCUCAUAACCCCGAGGUCGGUGGUUCAAAAGGCGGUACGGCCGCC
rnacentral:tRNA from 1 species